GUGGGGCCGAGCGGUUCCGGUGAAAAUGUCGAUUCCGAUUGGACUCUCGAUGAUUUAAAGGCAUCUGGCGUUUCUGAGGCAGUUUCGCUCCGUCACCCAGGCUGAAGUGCAAUGACGCGAUCUCGGCUAACCACUCUCCGCCUCCCGGGUUCAAACGAUUCUCCUGCCUUAGCCUCCCAAGUAGCUGGGAUCACAGGUGCCCGCCACCACGCCCAGCUAAUUUUUUGUUGUUGUUGUUUUGUAUUUUUAGUAGAGACACAGUUUAGCCAUGUUGGCCAGCCUGGUCUCAAACUCCUGACCUCAGGUGAUCCACCCGCCUCGGCCUCCCGAAGUGGUAGGAUUACAGGCGUGAGCCACCGCGCCCUGCCGAGGCUAAAGGUUUCUAACCUUUAGGAUGUCUUGGAGCUUCAAUGAGUCUCCUGAUCCUCCCACCUCAGCCUCUGAAGUAGCUGGGACUACAAGCACGGGCCACCACACCUGGCUUUUUUUUUUUUUUUUUAAGAGACCGGGGUGGUAGGGGGUGCGGGGGUGGGGGGUGUCUUACUAUUUUGCCUAGGCUGGUCUCAAACUCCUGGGCUCAACCGAUCCUACCACCUCGGCCUCCCCAAAGUGCCCCUUUUCCUCUUCUCCCCAAAACACAAUGCUGUUGGGAUUCUGAUUGAAAUUACAUUAUUUAUUAUAUUUGUCAUUUUAAAAAAUUUGUGAUGUAACUCCUAUGCCAUAAAUUUACCCUUUUUAAAGAGUAAAUUUAAGUGCACAAUUCAGUGUUUUUUAGUGUGUCCACAAGAUUGUGCCACAAUCAUCAUUAUCUAAUUCCAGAUUAUUUUCAUCACCCCAAAAAGAAACCCCUCACCUGUUAACAGUCACUUCACAUUUCUCUUGCCCCGCAAGACAUGGGCUACCACUAAUCUACUGUUUCUCUGGAUUUACCUAUUUUACACAUUUUAUAUAAAUGGAAUUAUACAAUGUGUGACCUUUUGUAUCUGGCUUCUUUCACUUACAGUGUUUUCAAAGUUUAUUCAUGUUGUAGCAUAUGUCAGAACUUCAUUUUUUUAUCACUGAAUAAACUUCAUUCUUUUUUAUCACUGAA